GCCCUCGUUGUCUAAUGGUUAUGACGUCAGACUUCUAAUCUGGAGGUUGCGAGUUCGAGUCUCGCCGGGGGUU
rnacentral:tRNA from 2 species